GUGUCUCUCUGUGUCAUGGUGUGUGUGUGUCUGUCUGUGUCAUGGUGUGUGUGUGUGUGUGUCUCUGUCCGUCAUGGUGUGUGUCUGUGUCAUGCAAUGUGUGUCUGUGUCAUUGUGUGUGUAUGUGUCUGUCAUGUAAUGUGUGUCUGUCUGCGUCAUGGUCUGUCUGUGUCAUGGUGUGUGUGUGUUUGUCAUGGUGUGUGUGUGUGUCUGUGUCACGGUCUCUCU